GGACAUUGAUGAUUUUUAUCUAUGGUCUCGUUCGACGUAAUGGUCUAAUAUAGUCCUUGACGAUUAUCCAUAUUCUGAGUCC